rnacentral:rRNA from 1 species
GACAGAGGGUGCAAACGUUGUUCGGAAUUACUGGGCGUAAAGCGCGUGUAGGCUGUUCGGAAAGUCGGAUGUGAAAGCCCUGGGCUCAACCCAGGAAGUGCAUUCGAAACUCCCGAACUGGAGUCCUGGAGAGGAAGGCGGAAUUCUCGGUGUAGAGGUGAAAUUCGUAGAUAUCGAGAGGAACACCGGUGGCGAAGGCGGCAUCCUGGACCGGUAUUGACGCUGAGGCGCGAAAGCCAGGGGAGCAAACGGG